AUUGAACGCUGGCGGAAUGCUUUACACAUGCAAGUCGAACGGCAGCAUAGAGAGCUUGCUCUCUGAUGGCGAGUGGCGAACGGGUGAGUAAUAUAUCGGAACGUACCUAGUAAUGGGGAACAACUAGCCGAAAGGUUAGCUAAUACCGCAUACGACCUACGGGUGAAAGCAGGGGAUCUUCGGACCUUGCGUUAUUAGAGCGGCCGAUAUCUGAUUAGGUAGUUGGUGGGGUAAAAGCCUACCAAGCCAACGAUCAGUAGCUGGUCUGAGAGGACGAUCAGCCACACUGGAACUGAGACACGGUCCAGACUCCUACGGGAGGCAGCAGUGGGGAAUUUUGGACAAUGGGGGCAACCCUGAUCCAGCCAUUCCGCGUGAGUGAAGAAGGCCUUCGGGUUGUAAAGCUCUUUCACAAGAGAAGAAAUCUUACUAUCAAAUAAAUAGUAAGGAUGACGGUAUCUUGAGAAGAAGCACCGGCUAACUACGUGCCAGCAGCCGCGGUAAUACGUAGGGUGCGAGCGUUAAUCGGAAUUACUGGGCGUAAAGCGUGCGCAGGCGGUUUUAUAAGUCAGAUGUGAAAUCCCCGAGCUCAACUUGGGAACUGCGUUUGAAACUGUAAGACUAGAGUGUGUCAGAGGGGGGUAGAAUUCCAUGUGUAGCAGUGAAAUGCGUAGAUAUAUGGAGGAAUACCAAUGGCGAAGGCAGCCCCCUGGGAUAACACUGACGCUC
rnacentral:rRNA from 1 species